UUUUUUACGGAGAGUUUGAUCCUGGCUCAGGACGAACGCUGGCGGCGUGCUUAACACAUGCAAGUCGAACGAUGAAGCCUAGCUUGCUAGGUGGAAGAGUGGCGAACGGGUGAGUAACACGUGAGCAACCUGCCCUUCACUCUGGGAUACGCACUGGAAACGGUGUCUAAUACUGGAUAUGACCCAUCACCGCAUGGUGUGUGGGUGGAAAGAUUUAUCGGUGAAGGAUGGGCUCGCGGCCUAUCAGCUUGUUGGUGAGGUAGUGGCUCACCAAGGCGACGACGGGUAGCCGGCCUGAGAGGGUGACCGGCCACACUGGGACUGAGACACGGCCCAGACUCCUACGGGAGGCAGCAGUGGGGAAUAUUGCACAAUGGGCGCAAGCCUGAUGCAGCAACGCCGCGUGAGGGAUGACGGCCUUCGGGUUGUAAACCUCUUUUAGUAGGGAAGAAGCGAAAGUGACGGUACCUGCAGAAAAAGCACCGGCUAACUACGUGCCAGCAGCCGCGGUAAUACGUAGGGUGCAAGCGUUGUCCGGAAUUAUUGGGCGUAAAGAGCUCGUAGGCGGCUUGUCGCGUCUGCUGUGAAAACCCGAGGCUCAACCUCGGGCCUGCAGUGGGUACGGGCAAGCUAGAGUGCGGUAGGGGAGAUUGGAAUUCCUGGUGUAGCGGUGGAAUGCGCAGAUAUCAGGAGGAACACCGAUGGCGAAGGCAGAUCUCUGGGCCGUAACUGACGCUGAGGAGCGAAAGCAUGGGGAGCGAACAGGAUUAGAUACCCUGGUAGUCCAUGCCGUAAACGUUGGGAACUAGAUGUAGGGCCUGUUCCACGGGUUCUGUGUCGUAGCUAACGCAUUAAGUUCCCCGCCUGGGGAGUACGGCCGCAAGGCUAAAACUCAAAGGAAUUGACGGGGGCCCGCACAAGCGGCGGAGCAUGCGGAUUAAUUCGAUGCAACGCGAAGAACCUUACCAAGGCUUGACAUAUACGAGAACGGGCGAGAGAUCGUCAACUCUUUGGACACUCGUAAACAGGUGGUGCAUGGUUGUCGUCAGCUCGUGUCGUGAGAUGUUCGGUUAAGUCCGGCAACGAGCGCAACCCUCGUCCUAUGUUGCCAGCACGUUAUGGUGGGAACUCAUGGGAUACUGCCGUGGUCAACACGGAGGAAGGUGGGGAUGACGUCAAAUCAUCAUGCCCCUUAUGUCUUGGGCUUCACGCAUGCUACAAUGGCCGAUACAAUGGGCUGCGAUACCGCGAGGUGGAGCGAAUCCCAAAAAGUCGGUCUCAGUUCGGAUUGGGGUCUGCAACUCGACCCCAUGAAGUCGGAGUCGCUAGUAAUCGCAGAUCAGCAACGCUGCGGUGAAUACGUUCCCGGGCCUUGUACACACCGCCCGUCAAGUCAUGAAAGUCGGUAACACCCGAAGCCGGUGGCCUAACCCUUGUGGAGGGAGCCGUCGAAGGUGGGACUGGUGAUUAGGACUAAGUCGUAACAAGGUAGCCGUACCGGAAGGUGCGGCUGGAUCACCUCCUUUCU
rnacentral:rRNA from 1 species